rnacentral:rRNA from 1 species
AACGAACGCUGGCGGCACGCCUCAUACAUGCAAGUCGAGCGCGAAACCACCUUCGGGUGAUGUAGAGCGGCGAACGGGUGAGUAACAGGUGGAUAAUCUGCCCUUUGGCGGGGGACGAACAGCUGGAAACGGCUGCUAAUACCGCAUGUGGUUGUAUGCUCAUGGUGUACAAAGAAAGACGCCUCAAAGCGUCACCAAAGGAUGAGUCCGCCCCCCACUUAGCUAGUUGGUGAGAUAACAGCUCACCAAGGCAUCGAUGGGUAGCCGAGCUGAGAGGUUGAUCGGCCACACUGGAACUGAGACACGGUCCAGACACCUACGGGUGGCAGCAGUGGGGAAUCUUCCGCAAUGGGCGCAAGCCUGACGGAGCAACGCCGCGUGAGUGAAGAAGGCCUUCGGUUGGUAAACUACUGUCUUCAGGAAGAAAAAUAGACGGACCUGAGGAGGAGCCCGGCACUACGUGCCAGCAGCCGCGGAACGUA